rnacentral:rRNA from 1 species
CCGCUGAAACUUAAGCAUAUCAAUAAGCGGAGGAAAAGAAACCAACAGGGAUUGCCCCAGUAACGGCGAGUGAAGCGGCAACAGCUCAAAUUUGAAAUCUGGCCCCCAGGGCCCGAGUUGUAAUUUGCAGAGGAUGCUUUUGGCGAGGUGCCGUCCGAGUUCCCUGGAAUGGGACGCCGUAGAGGGUGAGAGCCCCGUAUGGUCGGACACCGAGCCUCUGUAAAGCUCCUUCGACGAGUCGAGUAGUUUGGGAAUGCUGCUCUAAAUGGGAGGUAUAUGUCUUCUAAAGCUAAAUACCGGCCAGAGACCGAUAGCGCACAAGUAGAGUGAUCGAAAGAUGAAAAGCACUUUGAAAAGAGAGUUAAACAGUACGUGAAAUUGUUGAAAGGGAAGCGCUCACGACCAGACUUGGGCGCGGCGAAUCACCCGGCGGUUCUCGCCGGGGCACUUUGCCGGGCCUGGGCCAGCAUCGGUUCGCGCCGGGGGACAAAAACGGCGGGAAUGUGGCUCCCCUCGGGGAGUGUUAUAGCCCGCCGCGGAAUACCCUGGGGCGGACCGAGGACCGCGCACCAUGCUAGGAUGCUGGCGUAAUGGUCGUCAGCGACCCGUCUUGAAACACGGACCAAGGAGUCGUCUUCGUAUGCGAGUGUUCGGGUGUCAAACCCCUACGCGGAAUGAAAGUGAACGCAGGUGGGAGCCCUCGGGCGCACCACCGACCGAUCCCGAAGUUCUCUGACGGAUUUGAGUAGGAGCAUACGGGGCCGGACCCGAAAGAAGGUGAACUAUGCCUGUGUAGGGUGAAGCCAGAGGAAACUCUGGUGGAGGCUCGCAGCGGUUCUGACGUGCAAAUCGAUCGUCAAACAUGGGCAUGGGGGCGAAAGACUAAUCGAACCUUCUAGUAGCUGGUUUCC